rnacentral:rRNA from 1 species
ACAGCAGUCGCCACGGGAAUACGAAGGGGGCUAGCGUUGCUCGGAAUCACUGGGCGUAAAGGGUGCGUAGGCGGGUCUUUAAGUCAGGGGUGAAAUCCUGGAGCUCAACUCCAGAACUGCCUUUGAUACUGAAGAUCUUGAGUUCGGGAGAGGUGAGUGGAACUGCGAGUGUGGAGGUGAAAUUCGUAGAUAUUCGCAAGAACACCAGUGGCGAAGGCGGCUCACUGGCCCGAUACUGACGCUGAGGCACGAAAGCGUGGGGAGCAAACAGGAUUAGAUACCCCGGUAGUCCCUGUCUCUUAUAA